AUGUCCACCGACGCCGAACGUGCCGCCGCCGAGAAGGUUGAAGCCGACAAGAAGGCCGCCGAGGACGCCGCUACCGCCACCGCCGCGGCGGCUUCUGCCUGGCCUACUGGAGGGUAUAACUCGUUUAUUCCGCUCCUUUUGUUUUCUGUUUUAGCCAUGCUAGCAUUACACGUAGAUCUGUCUGCAAUUAGCGUAGUAUGUGCUUGCAUGAUUGAAUAUCAGUAUGCGAUUAUUUCUGUUAAUGCCAUGUUAGUGAUUUACUCGUGGAUUAAGUUAAUCAAAAAAUUGCCUAUUUACUCAACAAAAUAUAUCAAAAUCCAUAAUAUCAAAUCGGCAUCAUUAGAUUCAUCAUCAAAUGAAUUUCUAUAUUAUUUUUUAAUAUUAUGGAUGUCAAUAUUUUGCUUCGAACUUGAUCAAAGGUAA
rnacentral:rRNA from 1 species